UCGGGAAUUUUGGACAAUGGGCGAAAGCCUGACCCAGCAACGCCGCGUGAAGGAUGAAGUAUUUCGGUAUGUAAACUUCGAAAGAAUAGGAAGAAUAAAUGACGGUACUAUUUGUAAGGUCCGGCUAACUACGUGCCAGCAGCCGCGGUAAUACGUAGGGACCAAGCGUUGUUCGGAUUUACUGGGCGUAAAGGGUGCGUAGGCGGCAUAUCAAGUCACUUGUGAAAUCUCCGGGCUUAACUCGGAACUGCCAAGUGAUACUGAUGUGCUAGAGUGCAGAAAGGGCAACUGGAAUUCUUGGUGUAGCGGUGAAAUGCGUAGAUAUCAAGAGGAACACCUGAGGCGAAGGCGAGUUGCUAGGCUGACACUGACGCUGAGGUACGAAAGCUAGGGGAGCGAACGGGAUUAGAUACCCUUGUAGUCCCUG
rnacentral:rRNA from 1 species